GAUGAACGCUGGCGGCGUGCCUAAUACAUGCGAGUCGAGCGAACGGACGAGAAGCUUGCUUCUCUGAUGUUAGCGGCGGACGGGUGAGUAACACGUGGAUAACCUACCUAUAAGACUGGGAUAUCUUCGGGAAACCGGAGCUAAUACCGGAUAAUAUUUUGAACCGCAUGGUUCAAAAGUGAAAGACGGUCUUGCUGUCACUUAUAGAUGGAUCCGCGCUGCAUUAGCUAGUUGGUAAGGUAACGGCUUACCAAGGCAACGAUGCAUAGCCGACCUGAGAGGGUGAUCGGCCACACUGGAACUGAGACACGGUCCAGACUCCUACGGGAGGCAGCAGUAGGGAAUCUUCCGCAAUGGGCGAAAGCCUGACGGAGCAACGCCGCGUGAGUGAUGAAGGUCUUCGGAUCGUAAAACUCUGUUAUUAGGGAAGAACAUAUGUGUAAGUAACUGUGCACAUCUUGACGGUACCUAAUCAGAAAGCCACGGCUAACUACGUG
rnacentral:rRNA from 1 species